rnacentral:rRNA from 1 species
GAUGAACGCUGGCGGCGUGCCUAAUACAUGCAAGUCGAGCGAACAGACGAGGAGCUUGCUCCUCUGACGUUAGCGGCGGACGGGUGAGUAACACGUGGAUAACCUACCUAUAAGACUGGGAUAACUUCGGGAAACCGGAGCUAAUACCGGAUAAUAUAUUGAACCGCAUGGUUCAAUAGUGAAAGACGGUUUUGCUGUCACUUAUAGAUGGAUCCGCGCCGCACUAGCUAGUUGGUAAGGUAACGGCUUACCAAGGCAACGAUGCGUAGCCGACCUGAGAGGGGGAGCGGCCACACUGGAACUGAGACACGGUCCAGACUCCUACGGGAGGCAGGAGGAGGGAAUCUUCCGCAAGGGGCGAAAGCCUGACGGAGCAACGGCGCGUGAGUGAUGAAGGUCUUCGGAUCGUAAAACUCUUUUAUUAGGGAAAAAAAAAUGUGUAAGUAACUAUGCACGUUUUGACGGUACCAAAUCAGAAAGCCACGGCUAACUACGG